UGAGUAACCUGCCCUUAACUCUGGGAUAAGCCUGGGAAACUGGGUCUAAUACCGGAUAUGACUCCUCAUCGCAUGGUGGGGGGUGGAAAGCUUUAUUGUGGUUUUGGAUGGACUCGCGGCCUAUCAGCUUGUUGGUGAGGUAAUGGCUCACCAAGGUGACGACGGGUAGCCGGCCUGAGAGGGUGACCGGCCACACUGGGACUGAGACACGGCCCAGACUCCUACGGGAGGCAG
rnacentral:rRNA from 1 species